rnacentral:rRNA from 1 species
GUGCCAGCAGCCGCGGUAAGACGAACCGUGCGAACGUUAUUCGGAAUCACUGGGCUUAAAGCGCGUGUAGGCGGCCCGGCACGUCCGUCGCUGAAAUCCCCCGGCUCAACCGGGGAAGUGGCGUGGAUACGACCGGGCUGGAGGGGGGUAGGGGGAGCCGGAACUUCCGGUGGAGCGGUGAAAUGCGUUGAGAUCGGAAGGAACGCCCGUGGCGAAAGCGGGCUCCUGGACCCCACCUGACGCUGAGACGCGAAAGCCAGGGGAGCGAACGGGAUUAGAAACCCCCGUAGUCC